rnacentral:rRNA from 1 species
CACGUAGGGCGCAAGCGUUGUCCGGAUUUACUGGGCGUAAAGAGCGCGCAGGCGGUCGAUCAAGUCGAGUGUGAAAGCCCCCGGCUCAACUGGGGAGGGUCAUUCGAUACUGAUCGACUCGAAGGCAGGAGAGGGUAGUGGAAUUCCCGGUGUAGUGGUGAAAUGCGUAGAUAUCGGGAGGAACACCAGUGGCGAAGGCGACUACCUGGCCUGUUCUUGACGCUGAGGCGCGAAAGCUAGGGGAGCAAACGGG